UACGUAGGGUGCGAGCGUUGUCCGGAAUUAUUGGGCGUAAAGGGCUCGUAGGCGGUUUGUCGCGUCGGGAGUGAAAUCCACUGGCUUAACUGGUGGCUUGCUUUCGAUACGGGCAGACUGGAGGUAUGCAGGGGAGAACGGAAUUCCUGGUGUAGCGGUGAAAUGCGCAGAUAUCAGGAGGAACACCGGUGGCGAAGGCGGUUCUCUGGGCAUGUCCUGACGCUGGAGGAGCG
rnacentral:rRNA from 1 species